rnacentral:rRNA from 1 species
UACGGGGGGAGCAAGCGUUGUUCGGAUUUACUGGGCGUAAAGGGCGCGUAGGCGGUCGUGACAAGUCACUUGUGAAAUCUCCGGGCUUAACUCGGAACGGUCAAGUGAUACUGUCGGACUAGAGUACAGAAGGGGCAACUGGAAUUCUCGGUGUAGCGGUGAAAUGCGUAGAUAUCAGGAGGGAACACCGGUGGCGAAGGCGGGUCUCUGGGCAACAACUGACGCUGGAGGAGCGAAAGCGUGGGGAGCGAACAGG